UACGUAGGGGGCAAGCGUUGUCCGGAUUCAUUGGGCGUAAAGAGCGUGUAGGCGGCCAGGGAGGUCAGCUGUGAAAACUCGAGGCUCAACCUCGAGACGCCGGUUGAAACCAUCUGGCUAGAGUCCGGAAGAGGAGAGUGGAAUUCCUGGUGUAGCGGUGAAAUGCGCAGAUAUCAGGAAGAACACCCGUGGCUAAGGCGGCUCUCUAGUACGGUACUGACGCUGAGACGCGAAAGCGUGGGGAGCGAACAGG
rnacentral:rRNA from 1 species